rnacentral:snRNA from 1 species
AUAUUCUGGUUUCUCUUCAAAUCAAUAAACCUUUUGUCUUUUCAAAGA